AAUGCAGGUUGUUCUAUCGCUGUUUCGGGUAAAACCGGAAGAGAGGAAAGUCCGGGCAACGCAGGGCAUCCCGCUUUCUAACGGAAAGGGAUUGAGGAAUGAAAACCUGAAUCACGGAUUAGUGCAACAGAAAAUAUACCGUCCUGGGUUUAGUAGGGAUAAGGGUGAAAACGUGUGGUAAGAGCGCACGAGCAUCGCAGGUGACUGCGGUGGUUUGUAAACCCCGGGAGUUGAAAGACCAAAUAGGCUAACGCAUGUAGGGCUGCCCGUCCGAUGUUAGUGGGUAGGUCGUUAGAGGUAAACGGCAACGUUUACAGUGGAUAAAUGAUAGAAAUCUUAAGAAAUUAAGAAACAGAACCCGGCUUAUAGACCUGCAUUUUUU
rnacentral:RNase_P_RNA from 2 species